AUUGAACGCUGGCGGCAGGCCUAACACAUGCAAGUCGAACGAGUGGCGGACGGGUGAGUAAUGUCUGGGAAACUGCCCGAUGGCGGGGGAUAACUACUGGAAACGGUAGCUAAUACCGCAUACCAUCGGAUGUGCACAGAUGGGAUUAGCUAGUAGGUGGGGUAACGGCUCACCUAGGCGACGAUCCCUAGCUGGUCUGAGAGGAUGACCAGCCACACUGGUACGGAGACACGGUCCAUACUCCUACGGGAGGCAGCAGUGGGGAAUAUUGCACAAUGGGCGCAAGCCUGAUGCAGCCAGGCCGCGUGUAUGAAGAAGGCCUUCGGGUUGUAAAGUACUUUCAGCGAGGAGGCGUUACUCGCAGAAGAAGCACCGGCUAACUCCGUGCCAGCAGCCGCGGUAAUAC
rnacentral:rRNA from 1 species